rnacentral:rRNA from 1 species
GAUCCUGGCUCAGGAUGAACGCUGGCGGCGUGCUUAACACAUGCAAGUCGAACGAAGAUGCCGGAGUGCUUGCACUUUGGCAGACUGAGUGGCGACGGGUGAGUAACGCGUGGGUAACCUGCCUUAUACAGGGGGAUAACAGUUGGAAACGACUGCUAAUACCGCAUAAGCGCACGGUAUCGCAUGAUACAGUGUGAAAAACUCCGGUGGUAUAAGAUGGACCCGCGUCUGAUUAGCUUGUUGGUGAGGUAACGGCCCACCAAGGCGACGAUCAGUAGCCGGCCUGAGAGGGUGAACGGCCACAUUGGGACUGAGACACGGCCCAAAACUCCUACGGGAGGCAGCAGUGGGGAAUAUUGCACAAUGGGGGAAACCCUGAUGCAGCGACGCCGCGUGAGUGAUGAAGUAUUUCGGUAUGUAAAACUCUAUCAGCAGGGAAGAUAAUGACGGUACCUGACUAAGAAGCACCGGCUAAAUACGUG